AAUAUCACUUUCAAGUAUUAAACCCCUAUUUUCACUUAAUCUCACAAGUCAGUGAGGUCACUGUGAGUCUUUAGAGGACCUGUGCGGUCUCCUUCAUCACUUUUAUUUGAUAAAACUCACUUAAAAUCGCAUUUUUUCACUGUCCGGAGUAUAGAAGCUAGUUGAGUUGCAAGGUUCAGAAUUGAUUAUCCGUGGAGUUAGUCGAGCUGCGCAUGCACCGGGCCGGCCCAAACCCCAGUCAGUCGGAGGGACACAGACACUUCGGAGCUCGACCCGCCAUUUCAACAGUGUGUACGACGACACAAAAUAUGGAGAAAAUAUUUUGAGACUCAAAGUUUUCAUCUUGGGCUCAAUCGAGCCAUUUCUAGAUUUGACCGGAACUUGGAGGGUCAGAUAGCACUCCUUUCGUCAGCUGGUACCUUAGAAAAACAGCUGAUAACUUUAAGAAACAUCUUAUACCUCUCAGAAACAACUGAUACCUCUUUGAAGGAGCUAAUACCUCUCAGAAACAGCUAGUAACUCGCUAAGACAAACUUUAAAUCUAAAAAGAAGUUAUUAAGGUUAAGAAACUAUAAGAAACAACUGAUUGUUAGAAAACUUCUCAAAACAAAUGACAACUGUAGUCCAUGAGAAUAACUGAUAACUCUCUGAUCAGAAGAUAAGAAUUUUUGGCGAAAGAUGAUGACUUUUGAAAGUAGAAAAUGCCACAAUAAAGUGUCUUAAGGAUAUCCAAGUGGAAAACAGCUGAUUAUCAACUCGGUUCUCGAAAUCCUCGAAACUACGAGAAACAAUUAGAAGAACUAUUUCAAAGAGAAAAAUAACUAUGCUAAUUAAAAUACAACAAAGCCCAUGAUAAUCAACUCCCUUCAAAGCUCAGUUUUUUUUGUCUCCAAAUUCUCAAAAAUUGCCGGAUUUUGUUUUUUCUAAAAACAUAAAAUCAUUCGGGUCAAGAGUGUCCAGGGCUCAUCGAAGAAUUCCUACGCGUGGGCCCUGAAACUCCACGUGCUCACAUCUACUUAUUAAGAAGUGAAAGUGGCGACAUUUUAAUUUUUAUCUUUUGUUCAAUCAUUUCAGCUCAAUAAAGAAAUUUUCUUAUU